UACAGAGGUGGCAAGCGUUGUUCGGAAUUACUGGGCGUAAAGGGUGCUCAGGUGGCUUUGUAAGUCAGCGGUGAAAUCUUAGAGCUCAACUCUGAAACUGCCGUUGAUACUACUUGGCUUGAGUAUGGAAGAGGUUGAUGGAAUUUCAGGUGUAGCAGUGAAAUGCGUAGAUAUCUGAAAGAACACCAGUGGCGAAGGCGGUCAACUGGUCCAUUACUGACACUAAAGCACGAAAGCGUGGGUAGCGAACAGG
rnacentral:rRNA from 1 species